rnacentral:rRNA from 1 species
AGGAUGAACGCUGGCGGCGUGCUUAACACAUGCAAGUCGAACGAUGAAGGCUGGAGCUUGCUCUGGCUGGAUUAGUGGCAAACGGGUGAGUAACACGUGAGUAACCUGCCCCAGACUCUGGGAUAAGCGCUGGAAACGGCGUCUAAUACCGGAUACGAGCUUCCACCGCAUGGUGAGGAGCUGGAAAGAAUUUCGGUCUGGGAUGGACUCGCGGCCUAUCAGCUUGUUGGUGAGGUAAUGGCUCACCAAGGCGACGACGGGUAGCCGGCCUGAGAGGGUGACCGGCCACACUGGGACUGAGACACGGCCCAGACUCCUACGGGAGCAGCAGUGGGAAUAUGCACAAUGGGCGCAAGCCUGACUGCAGCAACGCCGCGUGAGGACGAGGCCUUCGGUGUAAACCUUCUUUAGUAGGAAGAGCGUAGUGUUUAUCACUUCAGUGACGUACUGACAGAAA